CGAGAUCUGCGUCCUCGGCGAUUACCCUGAGUAUGCUCCGAUGCAUAGGCGUGUCCUCCGCGACGGUGGCCUCGUACUUGGUCGGGUAGAAGAGGGGGUUCAGGUCG